rnacentral:rRNA from 1 species
AUGCACGCUGGCGGCGUGCCUAAUACAUGCCAGUCGCGCGAACAGACGAGGAGCUUGCUCCUCUGACGUUAGCGGCGGACGGGUGAGUAACACGUGGAUAACCUACCUAUAAGACUGGGAUAACUUCGGGAAACCGGAGCUAAUACCGGAUAACAUGUUGAACCGCAUGGUUCAACAGUGAAAGACGGUCUUGCUGUCACUUAUAGAUGGAUCCGCGCCGCAUUAGCUAGUUGGUAAGGUAACGGCUUACCAAGGCAACGAUGCGUAGCCGACCUGAGAGGGUGAUCGGCCACACUGGAACUGAGACACGGUCCAGACUCCUACGGGAGGCAGCAGUAGGGAAUCUUCCGCAAUGGGCGAAAUCCUGACGGAGCAACGCCGCGUGAGUGAAGAAGGUCUUCGGAUCGUAAAACUCUGUUAUUAGGGAAGAACAAAUGUGUAAGUAACUAUGCACGUCUUGACGGUACCUAAUCAGAAAGCCACGGCUAACUACGUG